GGCUGGUCCAAGUGUAGUGGUGUUUACAACUAAUUGAUCACAACCAGUUAGAGGUUUCUUGGUUUCUUCUCCACUCCCACUGCUUCAUCUGACUAGCCUAUA
ensembl:misc_RNA Y_RNA Y RNA